rnacentral:rRNA from 1 species
UGGGGAAUCUUCCGCAAUGGGCGCAAGCCUGACGGAGCAACGCCGCGUGAGUGAAGAAGGUCUUCGGAUCGUAAAGCUCUGUUGAUGGGGACGAACGUGCCUAAUGCGAAUAGUAUUAGGUAAUGACGGUACCCAUCGAGGAAGCCACGGCUAACUACGUGCCAGCAGCCGCGGUAAUACGUAGGUGGCGAGCGUUGUCCGGAAUCAUUGGGCGUAAAGGGAGCGCAGGCGGGCAUGUAAGUCUUUCUUAAAAGUGCGGGGCUCAACCCCGUGAUGGGAAAGAAACUAUGUGUCUUGAGUACAGGAGAGGAAAGCGGAAUUCCCAGUGUAGCGGUGAAAUGCGUAGAUAUUGGGAGGAACACCAGUGGCGAAGGCGGCUUUCUGGACUGCAACUGACACUGAGGCUCGAAAGCCAGGGGAGCGAACGGG